GAUGAACGCUAGCUACAGGCUUAACACAUGCAAGUCGAGGGGCAGCGGGAUUGAAGCUUGCUUCAAUUGCCGGCGACCGGCGCACGGGUGAGUAACGCGUAUCCAACCUUCCGCUUACUCGGGGAUAGCCUUUCGAAGAAAGAUUAAUACCCGAUGGUAUCUUAAGCACGCAUGAGAUUAAGAUUAAAGAUUUAUCGGUAAGCGAUGGGGAUGCGUUCCAUUAGGCAGUUGGCGGGGUAACGGCCCACCAAACCUACGAUGGAUAGGGGUUCUGAGAGGAAGGUCCCCCACAUUGGACUGAGACACGGUCCAA
rnacentral:rRNA from 1 species